rnacentral:rRNA from 1 species
AUUGAACGCUGGCGGCAUGCCUUACACAUGCAAGUCGAACGGAUUUUGGGGCUUGCUCCAAAGUUAGUGGCGAACGGGUGAGUAAAGCAUCGGAACGUACCCAGUCGUGGGGGAUAACGUAUCGAAAGUUACGCUAAUACCCCAUAAGACCUGAGGAUGAAAGCGGGGGACAGUCGGGCCUCGCGCGAUUGGAGCGGCCGAUGUCGGGUUAGCUAGUUGGUGAGGUAAAGGCUAACCAAGGCGACGAUCCGUAGCUGGUCUGAGAGGACGACCAGCCACACUGGGACUGAGACACGGCCCAGAGUCCUACGGGAGGCAGCAGUGGGGAAUUUUGGACAAUGGGCGAAAGCCUGAUCCAGCCAUGCCGCGUGAGUGAAGAAGGCCUUCGGGUUGUAAAGCUCUUUCAGACGGAAAGAAAUCUCUCGGGUGAAUAUCCCGGGAGGAUGACGGUACCGUAAGAAGAAGCACCGGCUAACUACGUGCCAGCAGCCGCCGUAA